UUGUAGUGCAUAUACCCGUGAAAGACCCCCAGUGUAGGGAGACCCUUACUCAAGUCUCGGGAUGACGGAACACCCCAAGAACUCACAUAAGACC
rnacentral:pre_miRNA from 14 species